CACUAUGCUCAGCCCUAAACAUUGAUUGUUUACUACAACCCCAAUCCGCCAGGGAAUUACGGACGCCAGUCUGAAACCCAAAGGACUUGGCGGUGCUUUACAUCCACCUAGAGGAGCCUGUCCUAUAACCGAUAAUCCCCGUUCAACCUCACCCUCUCUUGCUCUUCCCGCCUAUAUACCGCCGUCGUCAGCCCACCCUGUGAAGGCUAAAUAGUGAGCACAAUUGGCACAGCCCAGUACGUCAGGUCGAGGUGUAGUGAAUGAGAGGGGAAGAGAUGGGCUACAUUCGCUAAUUGUAGCGAAUACGAACACUGCAUUGAAACAUGCGGCUGAAGGUGGAUUUAGUAGUAAGUAGGGAGCAGAGUGUCCUACUGAAACCGGCUCUAAAGCGCGUACACACCGCCCGUCACCCUCUCUAAGUCUCCAGAACUGCACUAAUUAAGAACCUUCAACUGCAAAAGAGAGGAAAGUCGUAA
rnacentral:rRNA from 1 species